UACGUAGGGGGCAAGCGUUACCCGGAAUUACUGGGCGUAAAGCGCACGCAGGCGGUUCGCCAAGUUUGGAGUGACAGUUGUCGGCUCAACCGACAAAGGACUUCAAAAACUGGUGAACUUGAGGACGAGAGAGGAACAUGGAACUCCAGGUGUAGUAGUGAAAUGCGUAGAUAUCUGGAAGAACACCAAUGGCGAAGGCAAUGUUCUGGCUCGUUUCUGACGCUCAGGUGCGAAAGCCAGGGGAGCGAACGGG
rnacentral:rRNA from 1 species